CUCCCAAAGCUGUGGCUACCACUUAAUGAAGAAACCGCAUGGGAUCCUCUUUGAAACUCCCUAUAAGGCUUGCCAUAUCCAAAUUGUGAAUCAUUACUAUACAUUGACUAUUGUCUACAAGCCCGUGCUGGUCCCAAAUUGUGGUGAACAUGAAAUGUCCUGUGAGCUGGCACCCACCAUUGCCACUGUCUACACCUAUAAAGCCCUCUACACUUAAGCCACCUCACAUAGAUUGUGGAGCAUCCAGCAUGUCUCUAGAGCUUCCCAGUAGCUUGCUGGGUCAGGUUCAAGUACUGGAUAAAUCUCACCACCA